rnacentral:rRNA from 1 species
GACGAACGCUGGCGGCGUGCCUAAUACAUGCAAGUAGAACGCUGAAGGAGGAGCUUGCUUCUCUGGAUGAGUUGCGAACGGGUGAGUAACGCGUAGGUAACCUGCCUGGUAGCGGGAGAUAACUAUUGGAAACGAUAGCUAAUACCGCAUAAGAGUAGAUGUUGCAUGACAUUUACUUAAAAGGUGCAAUUGCAUCACUACCAGAUGGACCUGCGUUGUAUUAGCUAGUUGGUGAGGUAACGGCUCACCAAGGCAACGAUACAUAGCCGACCUGAGAGGGUGAUCGGCCACACUGGGACUGAGACACGGCCCAGACUCCUACGGGAGGCAGCAGUAGGGAAUCGUCGGCAAUGGACGGAAGUCUGACCGAGCAACGCCGCGUGAGUGAAGAAGGUUUUCGGAUCGGAAAGCUCUGUUGUAAGAGAAGAACGAGUGUGAGAGUGGAAAGUUCACACUGUGACGGUAUCUUACCAGAAAGGGACGGCUAACUACGUG